rnacentral:rRNA from 1 species
CCCUAGAUGUCCGGGGCUGCACGCGCGCUACACUGAAGGAAUCAGCGUGCUAAAACCAUUGUCGAAAGGCAUUGGUAAACCCAUUAAAAUCCUACGUGAUUGGGAUCGGGAAUUGCAAUUAUUUCCCUUGAACGAGGAAUUCCCAGUAAGUGUGGGUCAUAAGCUCGCGUUGAUUACGUCCCUGCCCUUUGUACACACCGCCCGUCGCUGCCCGGGACUGAGCCGUUUCGAGAAAAGCGGGGACUGCUGCUGUCGGGGCUUUCGGGCCUUGGCUUCGGUGGAAACCGCUUUAAUCGCAGUGGCUUGAACCGGGCAAAAGUCGUAACA